CCUGUCACCUGCACAGUGAGUGAGGAGGGUGAGGAGGAGAGGGAAGCCGGCCAUGCUGGAGAUUGUCCUGAGUCCUGGCUUCUCUACCCACAGCUGAAGCUGAGCUUCCCCCAGAUCUCUCCCUCUCUUCAUACUCUGAGAGGGGGAGAGUCCAUCCAUGCAAAUCAGACUCCCGGUUUGUGACCCCACCCUGAGCCCUGGGUGACCAGAGCCUCUGAGAUUCACCGCUGCCUCUGCCCUGCCCCGGUUUCUGGCCACUGCCCCCGCUCUCAAGUCCCGGCCCAGUAAGGUGGCACCUGUGUCUCCCUCCUGUGACCUCAGGGCAGUCUUCACGCUCUACUGGACUCCUCAGGAGUGAAUCUGUCCAUGGCUCUUUGGCUGUACAUUGUAGAGGAUUCAGAUUUGCAGUCAUAGUCAUCUGGAUACUGUGACCAGGGAUCUUGCCUAGGAGUCUGUCCUCCAAGCACUGAAUGCCAGUCUGUGGGGGAUCUUGGCAAAUGUCUUUGGAGGGUCUCACUUAUGAGCAAAAAGAGCAAAGAUGCUCAGUCUUUGAAGAUGGGAAGAAUUAAAAUUUUAACUUGGUUUGACAACCAGAGUCUGUCCUCAGGGGGUCACCGAGGCUGAGCACUGUCUCACAUACAAGACAAGGCUGCCCACGGCCCCCUCCCUGCCCACAGAUGCGCUUCCUGGUGGAUGCCCCAUCAGCUGUUAGGCUGAGGGCAGAGAGAGGAGCAGAUCCACAGCUAAAGAACUGGACACCCAGAGGCUCCAGGAGGAAGGGGCAACAGUUGCGACAGUGAGACCUGGACGGAGGACACUGAAUGAGGAGUUUGGGGGCUGUUCCUGGGAGCUGUUGGUACCAGGAUACUGCAUAAUUCCCAAUGUUGGAGCUGCUUCCAGAGCAGGAGAUGGUGACCUUCUGUCCUGGGGCCGCAGACACUGAGGGCGGCUGCGUCAACACAGACUGGGCCCAGGACCCUGGAAGCAGGAGAAACACAGACAUGACUUGCAGUCAUAGUCAUCUGGAUCCUGUGACCAGGGAUCUCACCCAGGAGUCUGUUCUCCAUCACUGAAUGCCAGUCUGCAGGGGAUCCUAGCAAAUGACUUUGCAGUGUUUUGCUAAAGAGCAAAACAACCAAAUAUGCUCAGUAUUUGAAGAUGGAAGAAUUAAAACUUUAGCUUGUUUAGACCAGAGUCUGCACUCAGGCUGGAGCCCAGAGAUACGCAGAAUCCCUGCAUUGGCUGAUGCAUCAUUGGAUCCAGAGAAGCGGCUGGGAACUCCAGAGCCUUGGCCCUUAUCGGAGUCUGAGUGGUAGUACAGGAGAUACCGGGGAGGGUUCCCUGACUUUUGUUGGUACCAGCUUAUCCAGAAGUCCCCAACACUGAAGCCGCUGCUCAGUGUGCAGGUGAGUCUGACUGAUGCUCCAGAAGAUGCAGAAUGGGAAGAUGGCUGAGUCAGCACAGGCUGGGAAAGGGAACCUGAAAACACAGACAUCAUGGGUGAUAAGGCAGUUCCCAGGGUAAAGCUUCUCAUAGGUCUGAGCCACAGGGGAUGGUGUAGGUUGGACACUGAGACUCAGUUUAUAAGGAUUUUCCCUACCUGUGCAGUGAGAGAGGAGCAUGAGAAGGAGAAGAGUCCAGGCCAUGGUGGACACAGUCCCUGAGCCCUAACAGUAGGCCUGAGCUGCCCCAGGUCUCCUUUUCUUCUCCAUCCUCUGCCAGGGGAGGGGCUGCUCAUGCAAAUAUGUUUCCAUCCAAGGACUGCCCAGCCCCUCCCUGAACCCCGGGGCUGAAGCUCAGCUCACACUGCAGACUGAGGAGGAGGGAAGUUUGGUUUCCCCCUUCGGAGGGCCCUGGGAGGAAGCACCUGCCGAGACCAUACACAGGUCUCUGCUUAGGGGACUCUGCCAGGCCAGAGAGGACAGAGCUCCUGAGUCCCCAUCAUUGAACACAGGGCACAGGUUCCUUGGAGUGAAUGGUUCUUACUAAGCAGCUGUGUAGGGACCAUAGGGCAGUCCUGCAGCAUCCCCUGCUGGUUGCACGGCACACACCUCCUGAUAUAGUGAGGAUGUGUGUCCUCUCUCAAUCUCCUGUUGAAACGUAAUCCCCAAUGUUGCAUGUGGCACCUGGUGGGAGGUGGUUGGGUCAUCAGAGAGGAUUCCGCGAGGCUUGGUGCUGUCCUCAUGACAGUGAUUGAGUUCUUGCAAGAUCUGAUUGUUGAGAUGUGUGGAACCUCCCCCCUUACUCUCUUGCUCCCACUCUGCCAUGUGAGAUGUCUGCUCCCACUUCAUGUUCCACCGAGUAAAAUCCCCUUGAGAUAUCCUCAGAAGCCAAGCAACUGCAGGCACCAUGACUCUUGUACGGCCUGCAAAGCCAUAAGCCAAUUCAACCUCUUUUGUUUGUAAAUUUCCCAACCUGGAGUAUUUCUUUGAAGCAAUGCAACAAUGUCCUAACAGAGAUACUUGGUACUGAGAAAUAAAGUAUUGCUAAAAGAUACCCGAUAGUACAAAAGCAGCUGUGGAACUCAGUCAUGGCCAGAGGUUGGAAGGGUUUGGGGGGCUCAGGAGAAGACAAUGUGAAAGGAAAACAAAUCAGGACCACACUCAAGCUGGCAACUGCUUAGAGCAAACCUGCCUCCCAUUCUAUUGAAAGCCUCCUCUCUGCUCACUGAGAUAAAUGCAUAUCUGAUUGCCUCCUUUGGAGAGGCUCAUCAGAAGCUCAAAAGAACGCAACCACGUGUCUCUUAUCUAUCUAAGACCUGGAAGCCCCUUCCCCACUUCAAGUUAUCCUGCCUUCACCUGGAGCUGUUCCACCUUUCCAGACUGAACUGAUGUGCAUCUUACACAUGUUGAUUGAUGUCUCAUGUCUGCCUAAAAUGCAUAAAACCAAGCUGUACCCCUACCACCUUGGACAUAUGUUAUCAGGAUCUCCUGAGGCUGUGUCACAGAUGUGCCUCCUCAACCUUGGCAAAAUAAGCUUUCUGAGUUGUAACUGAGACCUGUGUCCGAUUUUGGGGGUUCACAACAGGAAGAUUGGAAAAUGCUUCAGACUUUAUAGAGGCUGGUUAAAUGGUUAUGAUCAAAAUGCUGAUGGUGUUAUGAACAAUGAAGUAUAGGCUGUCAACAUCUCAGAUGGAAAGUGAGUAACUUAUUGAGAACUGGGGCAAAUAUCUCACAUGUUAUGCCUUAGGAAAGAGUUUGGCUGAAUUCUAUUCGUGUUCUAGGAAUCUGUGGAAGUUGGAACUUCAGAACAACCAUUUAGAGUAUCUGGCAGAAGAAAUGUCUAGGCAGAAAGAGUUCAAGAGGUGGCCUGGCUGUGUCUACAGCCAAUACUCAGAUGUGAGAUCAAAGAAAUGACUUUAAUUUGGAAUUUAUAUUUAAAAGGAAAGCAGAGCAUAAAAGAUUGAAAAAUUUUCAGCUUGACUAUGUGGCAGAAAAUAACAUCCUCUUUUCCUGAAAAGAAUCCAAGUGGGCUGCAAAACAAUCACUUGCUAGAGGUAUUUGCAAAACUAAAGAGGAGCCAAGUGUUGAUAGCCAAGACAAUGGGAAAAAGACCUCAAAGGCAUUUCAGAUAUCUCUGAGGCAGCCUCUCACAUUACAGUUCCUGAGCCUAGGUGAACUGAAUGGCUUGCUGGGUCUGGCCUAGGGCCCCAGAGUCCUGUGCAACCUCAUGGCUGAUUCAGCUCCAGCCUUGGCUCAAGAGGCUCCAGAUAAUGCUAUGCCACAGUUUUGGGGAGCAAAAGCCAUGAUAAGCCUUGGAAGCUUCUAUGUGGUGUUAAACCUGCAGGAGUACAGAAUGCAAGAGUGUUGGAGCCUCGACAACCUCCACCUAGAUUUCCGAGGAUGUAUGGAAAAGCCUGGGUACUCAGUCAGAAGCCUGUUGCGGGGGCAGAACCCUCCCACAGAACCUCUACUAGGUCAGUGUGGAGCGGAAAUGUGGGGUUGGAGGCCCCAGACCGAGUCCCUACUGGGGCACUGCCUAGUCGAGGUGUGGGAAGGAGGUCACUGUCGUCUGCAUACCAGAAUGGUAGAUCCACUGGCAAAUUGUAUCCUACACCUGGAAAAGCUGCAGGCACUUAACAGCUUAUGACAGUAGCCACAGGGGCCGAACCCCGCAUAGCCAAAUGGGUAGAACUGCCUUCAGCCUUGGUAGCCCACCGUUUACAUCAGUGUGCCCUGGAUGUGGGAGACGGGGUCAAAAAAAGAUUAUUUUGGAGUUUUAACAUUUAAUGAAUGCCCUGCAUGGUUUCAAACUUCCAUGACAUCUGUAGCCCUUUUUUUAUGGCAGUUUUUUCUCUCUCGGAAUGGGAAUAUUUACCCAAUGCCUGUACCACCAGCAUAUCUUGGAAGUAAAUAACUUGUUUUUUGAUUUUACUGGCCUAUAGGUGAAAGGGACUUGCCUUAUCUCAAAUGAGACUCUGAACUGCGGACUUCAACUAAGUUGAUGCUGGAAUGAGUUAAGAGUUUUGGGGAUUGUUAGGAAGACAUUAUUGUAUUUUGCUAUGUGAGAAGAACAUGAGACUUGAGAGACCAGGGGAAUAAUGGUAUAGUUUGGAUGCUAAACUAAAUCUGAUGUUGAAAUGUAAUUCACAAGGUUAGAAGUGGGACCUUGUGGGAGGUACUUGGAUCAUGAGAAAGGAUCCUUCAUGGGUUGGUUUUCACCUUAUGACAGUGAGUUUUCAUGGGAUUUGGUUGUUCAAAUUUGUGACACCUUUCCUACCCACUCUCUAUCUUGCUCCUGUUCUGCCAUGUGAGAUGCCUGCUCCUACUUCAUCUUCUGCCAUGAGUCAAAACUCCUUGAGGCAUCCCAGAAGAGGAGCAGAUGCCAGCACCAAGCUUCCUGUACAGCCCACAGAACUCUUGAGGCCAGAGAUAGAGAGGCCAUGUUGCCUGAAAAGGAGCCAGAGAAUAAUCUGAAAUUGCUGAAGCCUUAAUAUUUCCAAGAAGCAAAAUGUUAAGGACAGCAUUUGGUAAGAGCUGGUACCAGCACAUAUCACAGGAUCCAAGAAUGUUGCAGCUCCUAGAGCAGGAGGUGGUGACCUCCUGCCAGAGACCCUGACUCUGAGGACUGCGGGGCCAACAAAGACUUUGUCCAGGACUCUGAACUGAAGGACAUAGAGUCACAGAGAUGGAGAGCUUGGGGGUCAGCCCACAACCCAGCUUGGGCACCCCAGGAGAUAACAUUCCAUGUAUCUGUGGACACUCCCCUAAAUGCAGACUUCAGAUACCUGUGCACAGAGAGAGGAGAGUGAGAGGAGAGGGAUCAUAGUUCAGGUGCCCAGAGCUCUGCUUCCUGAGCCCAUCUUCUGAGACAGAGAUGCCCACAUCUCUCUUAUCUUUUCCCUCUGAUGGAAGCAUGAUCCCUUCAUUCAAAUUAUUUUCCACCCCUCUGACUUCCCCACCACCCCUUGCUGAGCCAUGAAUCAGGACUCUCUGCCCUGGAGUUUCUUGGUGGGGGUCGUGAAUCUGGUGAACUUCUGAUGUGUGGUCCCCAGGCACUUGGAGGGAAAAAACCCUGGGCCCAGGGAGUUCUGAGCAGACGGUCCCACCUGAGGAGCCAGAUGCACCAUUUGAAGCUGUUUCCUCACCAUGUAUCCCAGAGGAAGGGCCACAGCAAACUCCUGGUGGCCCUGGUACACUUUGCACCAUGUGCAAGAGGUAAUGCCAGUCUCCUGCCUGAGGGGGACCCCUGCCCAUGGAGGGCACUCCAGUCAGAAGAUUAUGAUGGACCACACGUGAGAUUGGAUGGGCCUUUAAUAAUGGGCUGGACAGAAGUGACAGGCAAGAGUCUAGAGUCUGGACAGCCACCUUUGCUUAUACCCACCCAGGAAUCUUCUCAAGAAAAUACACAAUUAACAUGUAAAUGUAAACAGAACAUUUGUGCAACCUCAUCUACUCAAUGCUGAAAUUAUUUUACUGUCUUAUUGAAAAAAACAUAACGAUUGCCAUGGUUACUUAUAUUAAACAGUGAGUUUUAAAGUGAUUUCCUUAGAUAUACUGCAUUCUUUAUGAUGAGCAUUCAGUUAUGAAGCUAUUUUUCAUCUUGCAUCAGCAUUAUAAAAGAAUAUAUUUUAAGCUAAUUUUUGAAAAUAUAUAAGACAAGGUAUUUUAUAUAGUUUUUCUACUUUUUCCAAAUUUCUUAUUCAUGGUAAAUAAAAUCAGAAUAAGGUCUUUUCUUCUGGGUAGAUAACCAUAGAAUGUAUAUAUGUAUAUGUAUAUAUGUGUAUGUAGUAAAAGAUGUAUGUAUAUAUGAGUCUGUAUAUAUAAGAUAAAAAUAUAUAAAUAUAUAUAUUUAUAUACACACAUAAAUUUGAACUUAAUGUAUUUUAUCCUUCGUGUUACUUAUCGUAUUGCUAGAAAAAAAAUGUUACCCAAUAUCUGCAUGAGCCAUAAUCACUAUUCUUUUUCCAAUUAAAAAGGAAAUGGUGCUACUAUUUCAACAUUAGGGCUGUGUGUAUGUCUUCAUUAUUUAUGAGUGGACAUUAUUAAAACAUUAAGAUAAUAUCCUUUA